AUUGAACGCUGGCGGCGUGCCUAACACAUGCAAGUCGAGCGGUAACAGGUGUAGCAAUACAUGCUGACGAGCGGCGGACGGGUGAGUAACGCUUGGGAAUCUGCCUGUUAGUGGGGGGACAACCCGGGGAAACUCGGGCUAAUACCGCAUACGCACUACGGUGGAAAGCCGGGGACCGCAAGGCCUGGCGCUAACAGAUGAGCCCAAGCCGGAUUAGCUAGUUGGUAGGGUAACGGCCACCAAGGCGACGAUCCGUAACUGGUCUGAGAGGACGACCAGUCACACCGGAACUGAGACACGGUCCGGACUCCUACGGGAGGCAGCAGUGGGGAAUAUUGGACAAUGGGCGAAAGCCUGAUCCAGCGACGCCGCGUGGGUGAAGAAGGCCUGCGGGUUGUAAAGCCCUUUCGGUGGGGAAGAAAGCCUCGAGUUAAUACCUCGGGGUCUUGACGUAACCCAUAGAAGAAGCACCGGCUAACUCUGUGCCAGCCGCCGCGGU
rnacentral:rRNA from 1 species